rnacentral:rRNA from 1 species
AUUGAACGCUGGCGUCAGGCCUAACACAUGCAAGUCGAGCGGAGCGUCGGACGGGUGAGUAAUGCCUAGGAAUCUGCAUUGUAGUGUGGGAUAACUUCCGGAAACGGGAGCUAAUACCGCAUACUAUCAGAUGAGCCUAGGUCGGAUUAGCUAGUUGGUGGGGUAAAGGCCUACCAAGGCGACGAUCCGUAGCCUGUCUGAGAGGAUGAACGGCCACAUUGGGACUGAGACACGGCCCAGACUCCUACGGGAGGCAGCAGUGGGAAAUCUUGGGCAAUGGGCGAAAGCCUGAACCAGCAAUGCCGCGUGAGUGAAGAAGGUCUUCGGAUUGUAAAGCACUUUAAGUUGGGAGGCGUUACCAACAGAGUAAGCACCGGCUAACUUCGUGCCAGCAGCCGCGGUAAUAC